UAUCAAAUUCUGUUAUGUUCCACAUCCCUUGCUGGAAUUAAUUUGCCCAGUUAUCCCAGCGGUGGCAUCUUCCCGUCCUGAAGUGUCCUCAUUACCAAGCUCCCACGACCUUGGUUUAGGGCACUGCUACUCCUCCCUACCUUACCUUCAGUGUGGGCUCCAGUCUGCAGCAGCCUUCCCAAAUGGUGUUGUGGUCCUGGAUAUUGUUUAGUUCACUCCAGUUUCCCAACUGGAAGAUGCCUCCAAGAGUAACUGUCUGGGUCCUAGAUACAAAUGAGGAGGGUCAAGGAUGAAGGAAAAUGAAGGCUCUGAGAUGAAUAAAGGUCAUUACCAUCAACCUUGUCACCUCUGCUAACACCACCACCAUCACUACCUCAAUUGCCACUGUCAUCACCAUCAACACCAACAACGAACUCUUCCAUCACCACUUCCAUCAAUGUUGUCAUCUCCAUCAACAACAUUGUCUUUGCUACUAUCAUUAAUAGGUCAUCACCACCAACUGCAUUCAUCAUUUCACCACCACCACUAACAUUGCCAUUGAUAUUGUCAUCUCCACGACACCAGUAACAUCGCCAUUGAGAUAACAUGGUUGGUGCAACCAUGUUAUUAACAUUGCCUUUGAGACUGUCAGCUCUGCUACAGUAUUAACAUCAUUGAUAGUGUCAUUUCCAUCAGCACCAGCUACCAUCCCCACUCCCAAUCACACCUUCAUCAACAUUGAUCUCCUCAUCAGCACCAGACCACCUCCAUUAACAUCACCACUCUACAACUCUUACGCUAAUCACCACCCCCAUGAACGCUGUCUUCCCCAUCAAUACAAUAUUAUCCCUAAUACCACCAUUCCGCUAUCAACAAUAUUGUCAUCCCAUGAACACCACCACUGGUUUCAGUGACAUUGUCAUCUCCACCGUUAACAUUAUCAUCACCAUCAGCCCCAAUCACCAUUCCCAUUCCCACUCCCAUUAUUGCCAUUCACACCACUUUUUUUUUUUUUUGAGAUGGGGUCUCGCUCUGUGGCCCAAGCUGGAGUACAGUGGUGUGAACAUGGCUCACUGCAUCCUCAACCUCCCAGGUUCAAGCAAUCCUCCCAUCUCAGCCUCUCGAAUAGCUGGGACCAUAGGCAUACACCAUCACGCCCGGCUAAUUUUUGUAUUUUUGUAGAGACGGGGUCUUGCCAUGUUGCCCAAGCUGGUCUUGAACUCCUGGGCUCAAGAAAUCCUCCCACAUUGGCCUCGCAAAGUGCUGGGAUUACAGGCGUGAGCCACCUACAUACCACUUUUAGUGUCA
rnacentral:lncRNA from 10 species